rnacentral:rRNA from 1 species
AUUGAACGCUGGCGGCAGGCCUAACACAUGCAAGUCGAGCGGAGCGGCCGACGGGCGAGUAAUGCCUAGGAAUCUGCCUGGUAGUGGGGGAUAACGUCCGGCAACGGGCGCUAAUACCGCAUACUCUCAGAUGAGCCUAGGUGGGUUUAGCUAGUUGGUGGGGUAAAGGCCUACCAAGGCGACGAUCCGUAGCUGGUCUGAGAGGAUGAACAGUCACACUGGAACUGAGACACGGCCCAGACUCCUACGGUAGGCAGCAGUGGGGAAUAUUGCGCAAUGGGGGCAACCCUGACGCAUCCAUGCCGCGUGGAUGAAGAAGGCCUUCGGGUUGUAAAGUUCUUUCAGUAGCGAGGCGUUAACUACAGAAGAAGCACCGGCUAACUCCGUGCCAGCAGCCGCGGUAAUAC